rnacentral:rRNA from 1 species
CUAAUCGAAUCUUUCCCUUCGGGGACAGAAGUGACAGGUGGUGCAUGGUUGUCGUCAGCUCGUGUCGUGAGAUGUUGGGUUAAGUCCCGCAACGAGCGCAACCCUUGCCUUUAUUGCCAGCAUUAAGUUGGGCACUCUAGAGGGACUGCCAGGAUAACCUGGAGGAAGGUGGGGAUGACGUCAAAUCAUCAUGCCCCUUAUGCUUAGGGCUACACACGUGCUACAAUGGGUGGUACAGAGGGCAGCCAAGUCGUGAGGCCNGAGCUAAUCCCUUAAAGCCAUUCUCAGUUCGGAUUGUAGGCUGAAACUCGCCUACAUGAAGCUGGAGUUACUAGUAAUCGCAGAUCAGAAUGCUGCGGUGAAUGCGUUCCCGGGUCU